UACGGAGGGCGCAAGCGUUAUCCGGAUUUACUGGGUUUAAAGGGUGCGUAGGUGGGUUGGUAAGUCAGUGGUGAAAUCCCCGAGCUUAACUUGGGAACUGCCAUUGAUACUAUCAGUCUUGAAUAUUGUGGAGGUUAGCGGAAUAUGUCAUGUAGCGGUGAAAUGCUUAGAUAUGACAUAGAACACCAAUUGCGAAGGCAGCUGGCUACGCAUAUAUUGACACUGAGGUACGAAAGCGUGGGGAUCAAACAGG
rnacentral:rRNA from 1 species